UCGAGAAUUUUUCUCAAUGGGGGAAACCCUGAAGGAGCGACGCCGCGUGGAGGAUGAAGGUCUUCGGAUUGUAAACUCCUGUCAUUAGAGAACAAUGUGCAUCCAUUAACUGUGGAUGCAUUGAUAGUAUCUGAAGAGGAAGAGACGGCUAACUCUGUGCCAGCAGCCGCGGUAAUACAGAGGUCUCAAGCGUUGUUCGGAUUCAUUGGGCGUAAAGGGUGCGUAGGUGGUGCCGUAAGUCAGGUGUGAAAUCUCGGGGCUCAACCCCGAAACUGCACUUGAUACUGCGGUGCUCGAGGACUGGAGAGGAGAUCGGAAUUCAUGGUGUAGCAGUGAAAUGCGUAGAUAUCAUGAGGAAGACCAGUGGCGAAGGCGGAUCUCUGGACAGUUCCUGACACUGAGGCACGAAGGCCAGGGGAGCAAACGGGAUUAGAUACCCCCGUAGUCC
rnacentral:rRNA from 1 species